rnacentral:rRNA from 1 species
UACGUAGGGUGCAAGCGUUAAUCGGAAUUACUGGGCGUAAAGCGUGCGCAGGCGGUUGUGCAAGACCGAUGUGAAAUCCCCGGGCCUUAACCUGGGAAUGGCAUUGGUGACUGCACGGCUAGAGUGUGUCAGAGGGGGGUAGAAUUCCACGUGUAGCAGUGAAAUGCGUAGAGAUGUGGAGGAAUACCGAUGGCGAAGGCAGCCCCCUGGGAUAACACUGACGCUCAUGCACGAAAGCGUGGGGAGCAAACAGG